GAAUGGGUUAGCCUAGUGGUUAAGGCUAUGGAUCGCCAAUCCGGAGACGGCGGGUUCGAUUCCCGUUCCGGUCG
rfam:Aedes albopictus isolate Foshan contig128450, whole genome shotgun sequence.